GUUGUAGUAAGUUUGGAUCCCUGAGUUUGAUCCUGGCUCAGGAGUCUGAUAAGGUAACCGGUAUUGGAUCCCCUCAAGUUUGAUCCUGGCUCAGGAAGGGAGAAAAAAGUAACCGGAAUUUUUUCCCCUUUAAUUUUUUCCGGGGUCAGCAGGGGACCUUCGGGCCUUGCGCUUUUUUUCUCCCAAGGUUUAUCCAGCUAGUAAGUGAGGUAAAGGCUCACCUAGGCAUCUUUCCCUUUCUGGUUUGAGAGGAUGAUCAGUCACACUGGAACUGAGACACGGUCCAUACUCCUACGGGAGGCAGCAGUGGGGAAUAUUGGACAAUGGGCGAAAGCCUGAUCCAGCCAUGCCGCGUGUGUGAAGAAGGUCUUCGGAUUGUAAAGCACUUUAAGUUGGGAGGAAGGGCAGUAAGUUAAUACCUUGCUGUUUUGACGUUACCAACAAAAUAAGCACCGGCUAACUUCGUGCCAACAGCCGCGGUAAUACUAAGGGUGCAAGCGUUAAUCGGAAUUACUGGGCGUAAAGCGCGCGUAGGUGGUUCAGCAAGUUGGAGGUGAAAUCCCCGGGCUCAACCUGGGAACUGCCUCCAAAACUACUGAGCUAGAGUACGGUAGAGGGUAGUGGAAUUUCCUGUGUAGCGCUGAAAUGCAUAGAUAUAGGAAGGAACACCAGUGGCGAAGGCGACUACCUGGACUGAUACUGACACUGANUGCGAAAGCGUGGGGAGCAAACAGAUUUAUUACCCUGGUAGUCCACUCCGUAAACAAUGUCUACUAGCCGUUAGGAUCCUUGAAAUCUUAAUGGCCCACUAACCUAAUCUAGUGAGCUAGAGUACGGUAGAGGGUAGUGGAUUUUCCUGUGUAGCGGUGAAUUGUGUAGAUAUAGGAAGGAACUCCUGUGGAGAAGGCGUCUAUUUGGAUUGAUACUGACUUUGAGGUGAGAAAGCGUGGGGAGCAAACAGGAUUAGAUACCCUGGUAGUCCACGCCGUAAACGAUGUCGACUAGCCGUUGGGAUCCUUGAGAUUUUAGUGGCGCAGCUAACGCAUUAAGUCGACCGCCUGGGGAGUACGGCCGCAAGGUUAAAAUUCAAAUGAAUUGACGGGGGCCCGCACAAGCGGUGGAGCAUGUGGUUUAAUUUGAAGCAACGCGAAGAACCUUACCUGGCCUUGACAUGCUGAGAACUUUCCAGAGAUGGAUUGGUGCCUUCGGGAACUCAGACACAGGUGCUGCAUGGCUGUCGUCAGCUCGUGUCGUGAGAUGUUGGGUUAAGUCCCGUAACGAGCGCAACCCUUGUCCUUAGUUACCAGCACCUCGGGAGGGCAUUCUAAGGAGACUGCCGGUGACAAACCGGAGGAAGGUGGGGAUGACGUCAAGUUAUCAUGGCCCUUACGGCCAGGGCUACACAAAUACUACAAUGGUCGGUUCAAAGGGUUGCCAAGACGCGAGGAGGAGGUAAAACCAUAAAACCGAUCGUAUUCCGGAUAGCUUUCCCCAACUCGAGAACGUGAAAUAAAAAUAACCAGUAAUGGAACCUCAGAAUUUUACCCCGGGUUCGGAAAGGGGCAACAAGGUAACCAGUUUUGGCUCCUUGAGAGUUUGAUCCUGCCUCAGGAAGUCGUAACAAGGUAACCAGUAUUGACCUCUAGAGU
rnacentral:rRNA from 1 species